ensembl:lncRNA
AUAUAAAGCCGCUGAGUCACGGAGAGCCCAUUCUACGCAUCCACCCCACUCCUGAUGGGACCAUAGUGACUGUUAGAGAAGAUGGGACAGUGAACUACUGGAGCUCCAAACUUCAACUGAGAAAGAGCAAAAAUAUGUUUCAUGAAAAACCCAUUGGACGAAUGCCAAAGUGGGCCACUGAUUUCACCAUCAUGCCACAAUACAACAAGCUGAUCAUUGGAACAGGGGACAGAGAAAUCCAGCUGUAUGAGCUUUCCUCGCUGGAGCCUUACUGUCAGCUAAACUCCCUGGAAACAGUGCCUCUGAAAUUAGACUACUGCUACACCGGCCCUGAUGAAUGCGUCAUUGUGUAUGGUGAUGUUCAGGUAACCAGUGGCUACUGAUUCAAGCAGAUAAGCAGGAUGGUUCAUGGCAUUUGUCUGAUUAAUUAUGAGACUUUUGGCGUCCUAGGGCUGCGUGAACAUCAUACUAAUGACAUCGGUG